rnacentral:rRNA from 1 species
GACGAACGCUGGCGGCGUGCUUAACACAUGCAAGUCGAACGGAAAGGCCCUGCUUGCAGGGUACUCGAGUGGCGAACGGGUGAGUAACACGUGGGUGAUCUGCCCUGCACUUCGGGAUAAGCCUGGGAAACUGGGUCUAAUACCGGAUAGGAGCCAUUUUUAGUGUGAUGGUUGGAAAGUUUUUUCGGUGUAGGAUGAGCUCGCGGCCUAUCAGCUUGUUGGUGGGGUAAUGGCCUACCAAGGCGGCGACGGGUAGCCGGCCUGAGAGGGUGGACGGCCACAUUGGGACUGAGAUACGGCCCAGACUCCUACGGGAGGCAGCAGUGGGGAAUAUUGCACAAUGGGCGCAAGCCUGAUGCAGCGACGCCGCGUGGGGGAUGACGGCUUUCGGGUUGUAAACUCCUGUCGCUAGGGACGAAGCUUUUUGUGACGGUACCUAGAUAAGAAGCACCGGCUAACUACGUG